GGGGAAUAUUGCACAAUGGGCGAAAGCCUGAUGCAGCAACGCCGCGUGAGUGAAGAAGGCCUUCGGGUUGUAAAGCUCUUUCGAUAGGGAAGAUGGGUAAUUAUACUAAUAAUGUAAUUAUUUGACGGUACCUGAAGAAGAAGCACCGGCUAACUCCGUGCCAGCAGCCGCGGUAAUACGGAGGGUGCAAGCGUUAUUCGGAAUUACUGGGCGUAAAGCGCAUGUAGGUGGGUUUCUAAGUUAAUUGUGAAAGCCCUGGGCUUAACCUGGGAAUUGCAGUUAAAACUGGAAAUCUUGAAUGCUUGAGAGGUUGGGGAAAUUCCUGGUGUAGAAGUGAAAUUCGUAGAUAUCAGGAGGAACACCGGAGGCGAAGGCGCCUGACUGGCAAUGCAUUGACACUGAGGUGCGAAAGCGUGGGUAGCAAAC
rnacentral:rRNA from 1 species